rnacentral:rRNA from 1 species
CCGGACGCGGACUGGACCAGCGGCCCGCCGGGGACCUCAAACUCUUGUAUUCCAGCAUCUUCUGAAUACGCCGCAAGGCAAAACAAAUGAAUCAAAACUUUCAACAACGGAUCUCUUGGCUCUGGCAUCGAUGAAGAACGCAGCGAAACGCGAUAAGUAAUGUGAAUUGCAGAAUCCAGUGAAUCAUCGAAUCUUUGAACGCACAUUGCGCCCGCCAGCAUUCUGGCGGGCAUGCCUGUUCGAGCGUCAUUUCAACCCUCGACCUCCCCUUGGGGGGGUCGGCGUUGGGGACCGGCAGCACACCGCCGGCCCUGAAAUGGAGUGGCGGCCCGUCCGCGGCGACCUCUGCGCAGUAAUACAGCUCGCACCGGAACCCCGACGCGGCCACGCCGUAAAACACCCAACUUCUGAACGUUGACCUCGAAUCAGGUAGGAUUCCCAGAGUUUUC